rnacentral:tRNA from 2 species
GGUCUUGUGGUGUAGCUGGUUAUCACUUUGGAUUUUGAUUCCAACAACCCGAGUUCGAAUCUCGGCAAGACCU